rnacentral:rRNA from 1 species
GGGCUCGCGUCCUAUCAGCUUGUUGGUGGGGUAAUGGCCUACCAAGGCGUUGACGGGUAGCUGGUCUGAGAGGAUGGUCAGCCACACUGGGACUGAGACACUGCCCAGACUCCUACGGGAGGCUGCAGUCGAGAAUAUUUAGCAAUGGGCGAAAGCCUGACUAUGCGACGCCGCGUGAGGGAUGAAGGUUUUCGGAUCGUAAACCUCUUUUAUCAGGAAAUGACGGUACCUGAGGAAUAAGCCACGGCCAACUCCGUGCCAGCAGCCGCGGUAAUACGGAGGUGGCGAGCGUUACUCGGAUUCAUUGGGUGUAAAGGGCAAGUAGGCGGUCCAAUGGGUGAGGGGUGAAAUCUUCCGACUCAAUCGGAAAACUGCCUUUCAAACUAUUGGACUUGAGGUUGGAAGAGGAAAAUGGAAUUCUCAGUGUAAGGGUGAAAUCUGUGGAU